ensembl:lincRNA 4930455D15Rik RIKEN cDNA 4930455D15 gene
GUGCUUCCGGGAUCCGGAGCCGAUGGUACAGGAACGGACCGCCUUCGGUGUAACACAAAACGAGCUCCCCUCGGAGCCUGCGGGCGAGUGGAACUUUGGUUCCUGACAUGGCUGGUUUCUCAGUGCGGUUGGUUUCCUCUUGGUUGAAGUGACUCAUUUUCAGGGAGGUCAUUGGAGUCGAGCUGCAAGUGAAGGAAAAUACGCAACAGCGUGAGAAGGACUUUAAUGACUUAAGCGGAAGAGACAAGAACUGGAAUUAUAAACGGAGUAAAACCAAGAGAUCACAGGAUAUUUGUUAAGAAAUUGAAAUCGUGUGCGGCUCCAGACAAAAAUCCCAGCACUAUGAAGGAAACAUGGGCACAAAGUCCUACCCAUAACCAAGAAGUCUCUGCAAUUGAUAUCUGGAAAAGGGAAAAUAAAUCAGGUUUGGACAGUGUAAUGUUAUUGUGUAUAUCAACUCUGCUCCAGGGUAGGGCCUAUAGCCAGGAGUAAUUGGUCAAUCAAUAUAUAUAUUAUUGGGCUUUUGUUGUUGCUUUAGUUUGGUUGUGUCUUUUGAUUUUUAAUUUUUUGAAAGAGAGAGAUAAAGCAUAAACAUCCAAAAAAAAAACAAAUGAGAAAAGUUUUGUAUUUAGGUAUAAAAAAAAAGAUAUUGUCUUCUAUCAUCAGAAGCAAAAACGUUUCAAUGAAUGAUUAAUCUUGUGAAGAAGUUUGAAAUAUUUCUUUUUCAGGAUUGAAUUCUGCACAAAAUCAUUUGGUACCAACUUUUUAAUAUCAUCAAACUAUGCCAGGAGGUGUUUAGACCAAAAACUCUAUGGCUGUUUCAUAAAGAAGAAAAUGUGUUUAUGAAGCUUAAAUGAUUUGCUCAAUUUUGCAAAAUUGUUUAGUGCCAAAAUCCAAACCAGCACAAAAUUUCAGAAAGAGGAAGAAGGAGAGGGGGUCAUGGAGGACAGCUGGAGGACGGGAGAUCAGCAAUCAGCAAGUGUAUUUUUAAGAGCAUACACUGGGUCAUAUGAUGGGUUUAGAUUCAUUAGAUAAGGACUCCAAGAUUCCCAGAUGUUGCCUAACUUCACCAGGAUUAUUUAAGUAAUGCUGUUUUGUUUUUUGUUUGUUUUGUUUGUUUGUUUGUUUGUUUGUUUGUUUGUUUUGGUAUUUUGUUGUUGUUUUGUUUUGAUAUUAUGAUACUUUCCCUGGGGAAAUAGGAACAGAUGCCUAUUCUUCCUGGACAGAAAGACCAAAGAAACACUUCCAAGGAAACCCUCUUGGUCUCUUAGGGAAGAAAACAGCCAAAGGAACCUGAUACUUUCCUCAAGUGUUCUAACUAAGAAAAUGCCUCAGAUGGAAUGAAACCGUCAAUGGGAACUGAGGAGGCGCACGUGUGAGGUCCAGCACUGCCACAGAGAGGAAACUACUGGUCAAGGAUUGCCUCGCCUAUGUCAGAGGGAGUGCGCGAGCGCGAGAAAGUAGCUGCUCUGUAUUAGGCAGCUGCAGAACAGCCUGACUCCAAACUCUGAUCAUUCAGAAUGAGGCAUGGAAAACUCUUUGUGUUAGGAAUGAUUCCAGUGAGACUCCUGCUUGGUGUGCUUUCUUGUUCAUGUCAUUAAACAUGCCUCCUGCAGAGGU